CCUACGGGAGGCAGCAGUAGGGAAUUUUCGUCAAUGGGCGCAAGCCUGAACGAGCAAUGCCGCGUGAACGAGGAAGGUCUUCGGAUCGUAAAGUUCUGUUGAAGGGGAAAAAGAGCGGAGAGAGGAAAUGGUCUCCGAUUGAUAUUACCCUUCGAGGAAGUCACGGCUAACUACGUGCCAGCAGCCGCGGUAAUACGUAGGUGGCGAGCGUUAUCCGGAAUGAUUGGGCGUAAAGGGUGCGUAGGCGGCCUGCUAAGUCUGGAGUGAAAGGUACCGGCUCAACCGGUACAGGCUCUGGAAACUGGCGGGCUAGAGAGCAGGAGAGGGCGGUGGAACUCCAUGUGUAGCGGUAAAAUGCGUAGAUAUAUGGAAGAACUCCGAUUGCGAAGGCAGCUUACUAAACUGCCACUGACAUUGAUGCUCGAAAGCAUGGGUAGCGAACAGGAUUAGAUACCCGUGUAGUC
rnacentral:rRNA from 1 species